CGGGACCGGGGUCGGAGGUAACGCGUGGGUAACGUACCCUGUACACACGGAUAACAUACCGAAAGGUAAUGCUAAUACAGGAUAAUAUAUUUGAGAGGCAUCUCUUGAAUAUCAAAGGUGAGCCAGUACAGGAUGGACCCGCGUCUGAUUAGCUAGUUGGUAAGGUAACGGCUUACCAAGGCGACGAUCAGUAGCCGACCUGAGAGGGUGAUCGGCCACAUUGGAACUGAGACACGGUCCAA
rnacentral:rRNA from 1 species